rnacentral:misc_RNA from 1 species
GAUUAAGAACGCAGCGAAAUGCGAUACGUAAUGUGAAUUGCAGAAUUCAGUGAAUCAUCGAGUCUUUGAACGCACAUUGCGCCCCCUGGUAUUCCGGGGGGCAUGCCUGUCCGAGCGUCAUUGCUGCCCUCAAGCACGGCUUGUGUGUUGGGCCUCCGUCCUCCUCCCGGGGGACGGGCCCGAAAGGCAGCGGCGGCACCGCGUCCGGUCCUCGAGCGUAUGGGGCUUCGUCACCCGCUCUUGUAGGCCCGGCCGGCGCUUGCCGACACAUCAAUCUUUUUUCCAGGUUGACCUCGGAUCAGGUAGGGAUACCCGCUGAACUUAAGCAUAUCAAUAAGCGGAGGA